GAUGAACGCUGGCGGCGUGCCUAAUACAUGCAAGUAGAACGCUGAAGGAAGGAGCUUGCUCUUUCCGGAUGAGUUGCGAACGGGUGAGUAACGCGUAGGUAACCUGCCUGGUAGCGGGGGAUAACUAUUGGAAACGAUAGCUAAUACCGCAUAACAGUAGAUGUUGCAUGACAACUAUUUGAAAGGGGCAAUUGCUCCACUACCAGAUGGACCUGCGUUGUAUUAGCUAGUUGGUGAGGUAACGGCUCACCAAGGCGACGCUACAUAGCCGACCUGAGAGGGUGAUCGGCCACACUGGGAGUGAGACACGGCCCAGACUCCUACGGGAGGCAGCAGUAGGGAAACGUCGGCAAGGGACGGAAGUCUGACCGAGCAACGCCGCGUGAGUGAAGAAGGUUUUCGGAUCGGAAAGCUCGGUUGUAAGGGAAGAACGAGUGUGAGAGUGGAAAGUUCACACUGUGACGGUAGCUGACCAGAAAGGGACGGCUAACUACGUG
rnacentral:rRNA from 1 species